rnacentral:tRNA from 1 species
GCUGGCUCAAUGGUUAAGUGUUUGGCUGCUAACUGAAAGGUUGGUAGUUCAAAUCCACCCAGCA